UCCCUGGUAGCUCAGUGGUAAAGAAUCUGCCUGCAAUGCAGGUGACCUGGGUUCGAUCCCUAGGUUGGGAA
rnacentral:tRNA from 1 species